AAGAAAUCAGCCUAGUAACCAACGAAGAAUCACAGAGGGGAUGGGCAUCUUUGUACAGAAGACCGGACGAGGCCCAGAAGAAGCCGCCGGCUCACACGGCAACUGGCGCCAGGGCUGGGACGGGGACCCAAGGCUUCUGACCUCGGGUUUUCUUUGUACAACAACCUGCUACUAUAUUUUUUAGAGAAAUAAAUUAUGCUCCGUGCUGGUGGGAAGCCUUUUAAACAAAAAGAAAAAAGGAAACGGCCAAGAUGCAUCUUAAUUAGAAAGCGCUUGGGAAAAAAAAAUCUUCGCGGGAGGCGGGUACACAGCACCGUGCCACGAACGGUCAGCAGCAUCAGAGUGUGAGAACCCAGCAGGCUAAUUUAGAGCCUCCAGCGUCCGGAUGGAGCGGCCACGGCUCCCCAAACAUGUGACUGCCCGGAAGGUUUGCUCGCUGCCCUUACGCCUGACCCGUUCCAUCCAAGCGAUUGCGACAUCGCCACUUCCAAGGAAGAUGACAGCUCUUUCUCAAAACAAACUCAAAGCCUGGGUCAGGAAUGUGCACCACAGCCUGCUAAAAAUCAGUGACAACAUGGCCUGACACUGAUUUUCCCAAGAACUAUGGGAUCCUUGGUGUUUUGGUUUUGUUUUUCAGAAAAAAGAAACCGUCCACAAAGUAGAUAGGGUGUUUUCAGCCAGAGAAGUCAACGUGCUCUGUUACCCAAUAGCAGGGGAGGAGGGAAAGGGCCCCAGGAAGGGGACGUGUGCACGCCAGGCAGGGUACUGGGGCAACCUAGGCCUGCCCCCCUCGCCGUCACAGGCCCUGAAUACUCAGCUGAUGUCCACUAGAAACUGAUGCCUGGAGAUGGGCUGCAGCAGACUCUGGCCAUGAAGUACAUGUCUUCUCCAGCUUCCAUGAGGACACUGGAGUAGAAGAUACAGCACCACCAGCCCCGAAACCAUCCUUCUGCCCUGUUUCCUUCUCUGUGGCCACCGUAAGUGGUCACUGGGGGACAGGGCAGCACAGUGGUUUAUGGGUUGGUUUUUGGAGUUUGACAGCCUUGUCAUGAAGUCUCUGCUUGAUAACUGUGUGACUAAGCAAGUCCUAAAACUCACCUAGUCUCAGUUUCCUUAUCUGUGAAAUAGGGAUAAAAUGGGUAGUUUAUUCCUUCCAAGGGCUAUGAGGAAGACAUAAGAGAAUGCAUGUGCAGGGAACCCCCAAAUCAUACACGCCCUGACAGUGUCCUCCUGCUAAAGCUCCACAAACUCCUAGCUCCUGGUGGUGAUCUGGCCAUGACCGUAGGUCUGCAUUUUGACAAUCCGGCCUUGGUCAAUUUAGCUAACCUCAGAGUGGGUGGUGCAAAGAGCCCUGGGCUGGGACUCAUGACGAGAGUCUGAGCCUCCGUCCUGCAAUUAAUAGGCUGUGUCACCCCGAAAGUCCCUUCCCCUCUCUGAGCUUGGUUUCCCCCACACUCAGAUGAAGAAGUAGGACUUGCCUUCAAAGAGUCCCACUGGUGGCACCCUCCCAAGACUGCGCUCGUGCUGAUUUUCCCUUCUGCCAAGGCAAGAUGAAGUUAUCAUGGCUCACUCGGACUUCUUGGGAGGAUUAAUGCUCGUUAAGUGCUUCAAGCCUGGCAGCUGGCACCGAUGCAAGGUGUCACUUACUACCUGCCCGGAAAUUCUUAUCCUGGCAGGAGGCUGAUUUAUUCCGUGGCCUUGAACCUUAACCUUCCCCUGCCUCUUCCCUGUUAAAAAUUCCUCUGUCAGCUGCUUCAAUGAAGAAGCAAACGGGAUGCUGUCCACCAGUGGGCUGCCCACCCAUGAUCUCUGCCAUGGGUACUCAAGGGCUGGGAAAACAGGGCAGGCUUGGAAAGCCCUGGAGCCCUCAGGUGGCCCCCUGAGCCCAGGGGUCUUGGGCAUGCUCCAGUCAAAACAGGAGGGGCACACACUGUCCUAAGGGACUCACAUCAUCCUCACAUCAGCUGACUUGAACGCCAGGCAUGCAUAUGAGCGCUUCUGUGUCUCAGCUCCUUUAGCUCUCAAACCAAUCCUGUGAGUAGCUAGUACUGUUGUCCCAACUUAUAGCUGUGACACUGAGGCCCAGAAAGGUUAAACUUGCCCACGAUCACACAGCUAAUCAGUGUGGAGCAGCAUGCAAAUGCAAGCCGUGUGGCCCCUGAGUCCCAUGCUCCUCAGCUAGCUCAUUUGAUGUCCUCCAACUCCUAGCAGCAGCCCUUUGCAUAGGUAAGGAAGCUGGGCCUCUGUGCACCGAGCCUCUGAGAGUUACCAGCGAUAAGAGCACUGCCAUCGAGUGCCUGCUCUGGGUCUGGCUCGGGGCUAGGCCUUUGUCUCCAGUCUGUCACCACAGGCCCAGGAGGCAGGGGCCUCUGCCCCACUCCACAGUCUGAGGCCACACAGCUACCAAGUGGCAACACAGAGGCCCUGCUCAGGCAGGCUUAGACCCAAAGUCCACGCUCUUUCCACCACCUGGCUGGACACUAACAGGGACGUUCCGGUGACAUCUCAGAGGACAGGGAAAGAAGCAGAUACCUGCCGUGGCCUGGGCCACAAGGCAAGGAGCAGGCUGUGUCCUUACCCACAGCCCCGGGGUCUUGGGAACAAUUUCGGACAGGGCCUGCUGAGCCGGAUGUUAGUAAAAAGGAAGCCACUUUGAUACUGAAUUGCUUAGGACACGAACACUGGCUUGAGAGACACCUCGCUCAGUGGUCUUGCUCUCAGAGUGAGAACAGAUUCAGGGAGGGGUGCACGGGCAGCUGAGAGGGGAACCAACGUGGUGAAAUGCGGAAGAGGGCCGCACAGGACACCACGCUCGGCAUCUGAUGUUCUCCCUGCAGAGCCAGGCGCCAGUGUGAACCCAUCACUCCUCCCCGCAUGCAGCCCCCUUGGCCUUGCAGGCCAGGAAGAGAGGACUGCAAGAGCCCGCGUCCAAACGACUCGGCCGGGUGGGGCAGGGUGGGCACUGCUCCCACCCGACCUUCUCGGCGGGGCUCAGUUUAUGGCGAAGUCACGGAAGACGGCAGCGGCCAGAGUCCAGCAACGAGGCCACCCAGCGGCCCACGUGAGUCCAGAAAAAGAAGUGGCAGGGUGACAAGCAGCUGAAUUCAGGCCAGUUCACCUCCUGUCUUCGGGAACAGUCUGGCUUCAAAGCCCCUCAUGGAUCCAGUCCAAACUAGAACCUCUUCCUCUGCAUUCCCAUAAGCCUCUGUCUCAUAAGACACACAUGCGGUCGCCACGGUCAUAGCUACUACCCAUCUGACAGGUUUUCCGUGUCAGGUAGGCCCUGGGCUGGGGCUCUGAGGUCUUCUUUAGCUCCGCUGUGCAGAAAAACUCAGGAUCGUAGAGAGAUGACUUGCCUAAGCUCACACAACCAGGAGCUGGUAAAUAUACACUUGUUGAGUGAAAGAGUAAACUGAGACCAGCUCUCCUACCCAGUACCCGGGCCCCUGCCCACCCUCCUCUCCCAGGAGCCAGCCGCCCACUGCCACUUCUCUGCUGGCGGCAGAAGAAAGACGCUGCGUCACUGCCAGGACUGUUGUGAACACUGGACAAUGCGGCACCGGGGGUCCUGCUAAGGCUGCUCUGGGAGACAGAUGCCCGGGGGACCUCAGGACCUCCCAUGGCCUCACCUGGGCAACUGCCGACUGCAUUUGUUAUGCUGUAAAUUGUAAAUCACUCGUACAUGCUUGGCCCUCUGCGUGGUCAUACGUGCUCACACAGAAGUCCAGUGUGAAGGACGGACGAGCAGGGGCCCAGAGAGGCGAAGUGACUUGGACCUGGCCACACAGCGCAGGGCAGAGUGAGGACCUGUACCCAGGUCCAAGUUUCUUUCCACCAUUCCAGCUGCCCACUCUCCAUCAGGUCUGGUGACUGAAGAGGGGCUGAAGAGUUGAGAUGCAAAUGGCAGCCUUGAGGAAUGUUUACACAAGGGGAGGUGGCUUAGCCCGAUCCUCCCUGGAGUGCUCCCCAUGGUGCUCCCUCUGUCCCCACGGAUGGUCUGAGCAACAGCUAUGUCCCUGCUGCGCAGUUUCAGAAAUCAGCCUCCCCUGACUUCCACCAAUUCCCUGAAAAUUCGCACACUGCCUCCGUGCUUCCAGCCCCGAUGUACACCAGGAGCCAAAGGUCCAACAACUCUGAGAAGACUCACGCCAGCUGCCUUUCCCCCGGGCUGAUGUUGGGGAAGGUCUGUUCUAAGGCAGGGAGGACAACCAGGCUCCUCAACAGAAAUCUGUACAUUUCAUAUUUAAGGUUAAGGAAACAUCUGUCUUCUUCUCCUCUGACUCAAGAGUCCUCUGUAGCAAUCUAUGCUAAGACAACAUUUUAUGCACAAAGAUGGUAACUGCUGAAUUGUUUUUAAUAGCAAAAAAAAUGGAAACGGCUUCUGUCCAACGUUAGCAGGAUAGUUAAAUGAACUAUGGCACAUCCAUGCAUUAAUUGCAACCAUUAAAACCAUUCUUUAUGAAAAAAAUUUGAAUAAGUUAGGGAAAUACCUAUGAAUGUAACAUUAAGCCAAAACAGAGAGAGACGGAGAGAGAAAGAGGACAUGGAAUUGCAUACAGAGAGGGAAAAAAAGUACAGAGAAGACUGGAAGGAAGUGAACCAAGAUAUCAACACAGGCUGCAUCCGGGUGGCAGAACGAGUUGUUUGUUUUCUGUUUUACACCUUUUGAUACUUUUUAUUUUCUCCUACAUUCCUGUGAUAAUCAGAGAAAUAAAAGCAGCUACCCAAA